GUGCCAGCAGCCGCGGUAAUACGUAGGUGGCAAGCGUUAUCCGGAUUUACUGGGCGUAAAGAGUGCGUAGGCGGUUCUUCAAGUCGGAUGUGAAAUCUCCCGGCUUAACCGGGAGGGGUCAUUCGAAACUGUUGGACUAGAGGACAGCAGGGGGAGGUGGAAUUCCCGGUGUAGUGGUGAAAUGCGUAGAUAUCGGGAGGAACACCAAUGGCGAAGGCGGCCUCCUGGGCUGUGUCUGACGCGGAGGCUCGAAAGUGUGGGGAGCGAACAGGAUUAGAUACCCUGGUAGUCCACACUGUAAACAAUGGACCCUAGGUAUGGGGAGUAUCGACCCUUUCUGUGCCGAAGCUAACGCUUUAAGUGUCCCGCCUGGGGACUACGGCCGCAAGGCUAAAACUUAAAGGAAUUGACGGGG
rnacentral:rRNA from 1 species